rnacentral:rRNA from 1 species
CAGUCGCCACGGUAAUACAGAGGGUGCGAGCGUUAAUCGGAUUUACUGGGCGUAAAGCGUGCGUAGGCGGCUUCUUAAGUCGGAUGUGAAAUCCCUGAGCUUAACUUAGGAAUUGCAUUCGAUACUGGGAAGCUAGAGUAUGGGAGAGGAUGGUAGAAUUCCAGGUGUAGCGGUGAAAUGCGUAGAGAUCUGGAGGAAUACCGAUGGCGAAGGCAGCCAUCUGGCCUAAUACUGACGCUGAGGUACGAAAGCAUGGGGAGCAAACAGGAUUAGAGACCCCAGUAGUCCCUGUCUCUUAUAC